AUGCACAUUUCGUUGUCUUUUUUCUUCUUCACAUCAAGAGAAAAGAUAUUUCUGAUGUGCUAAAUAAACUUGGAGGAAUAUUAGCAGCGUGACUACUUUAGCCACUGCUGUCAGUCACCUUCAGACAAAG